rnacentral:rRNA from 1 species
UACAGAGGGGGCAAGCGUUGUUCGGAAUUACUGGGCGUAAAGGGCGCGUAGGCGGCCUUCUAAGUCGAACGUGAAAUCCCCGGGCUCAACCCGGGAACUGCGUCCGAUACUGGAAGGCUUGAAUCCGGGAGAGGGAUGCGGAAUUCCAGGUGUAGCGGUGAAAUGCGUAGAUAUCUGGAGGAACACCGGUGGCGAAGGCGGCAUCCUGGACCGGCAUUGACGCUGAGGCGCGGAAAGCCAGGGGAGCAAAGCGGG